GAUGAACGCUGGCGGCGUGCCUAAUACAUGCAAGUCGAGCGAACAGAUAAGGAGCUUGCUCCUUUGACGUUAGCGGCGGACGGGUGAGUAACACGUGGGUAACCUACCUAUAAGACUGGGAUAACUUCGGGAAACCGGAGCUAAUACCGGAUAACAUUUGGAACCGCAUGGUUCUAAAGUGAAAGAUGGUUUUGCUAUCACUUAUAGAUGGACCCGCGCCGUAUUAGCUAGUUGGUAAGGUAACGGCUUACCAAGGCAACGAUACGUAGCCGACCUGAGAGGGUGAUCGGCCACACUGGAACUGAGACACGGUCCAGACUCCUACGGGAGGCAGCAGUAGGGAAUCUUCCGCAAUGGGCGAAAGCCUGACGGAGCAACGCCGCGUGAGUGAUGAAGGGGUUCGGCUCGUAAAACUCUGUUAUUAGGGAAGAACAAACGUGUAAGUAACUGUGCACGUCUUGACGGUACCCAAUCAGAAAGCCACGGCUAACUACGUG
rnacentral:rRNA from 1 species